rnacentral:hammerhead_ribozyme from 1 species
CUUGUGAAGAGUCCCACACUAGGACGAAACACGUGUCAAG